AGAACUACUGUCCUAAAUGGGCUUCUAC
rnacentral:piRNA from 1 species